rnacentral:rRNA from 1 species
ACACCGGCAGCCCGAGUGGUGGCCACUAUUAUUGGGCCUAAAGCGUCCGUAGCCGGUCCGGUAAGUCCCUGUGGAAAUCCUCAGGCUCAACCUGAGGAAAUGCGGGGAUACUGCCGGACUCGGGGCCGGGAGACGCGGAGGGUACUCCAGGGGUAGCGGUGAAAUGCUGUAAUCCCUGGGGGACCACCAGUGGCGAAGGCGCUCCGCGAGAACGGGCCCGACGGUGAGGGACGAAAGCCAGGGGAGCGAACGGGAUUAGAAAACCCAGUAGUCC